ensembl:snRNA U2 U2 spliceosomal RNA
AUGGCUUCUUGGCCUUUUGGCUGAGAUCAAGUGUAGUAUCUGUUCUUAUCAGUUUAACAAUUAUGUGACUGGAAUGACUUCCUCUCCUCUCUCUGUGCACCCCUU